AACAAAGCUGUGAGGGGUCUGGAGCACAAGUCUGAUGGGGAGCUGGGAUUGUUCAGCAUGGAGAAGAGGAGCCGCAGGGGAGAAAACAACACAGGCUGCGCACCUUGGGAUGAAAGAAGGGGUAGCAGACAUUGGUGAAGCUUGACAUGAAGAGAUUGGAAAUUAAUACUAACUAACAGGACAUGCAGUGAGGGCUGGAAGAAAGAGGAUGAGACCACUGGCACACUGUUCAUGUUCUGAUACAUGCGGCAACAUUUGGGGCCCUCAUACAAAUGAAUUAAAUACAAAAAUUCAAGCCUCACUGCGCUCAUUAAGAUGUACAUGUACAUUGCAACCGGCUUCAGAAAGCGACCUUUUAACACACAUAAAAUACUUACAUACAUACAUGUAUAUAUAUCUCAAUUGCAACUUUUAUUGUGCAUAAAGCAGUUGAUACUGAGGGAGGAAAAAAAAGAUUACUGCAGAUUCACACCAGAAAUCGAUACUGGUUACUUUCUUCCAGGUUGCUCCUUACAUUUGAAAUCCUUGGUUGCAAACUGAAGUCCUCUCAUGGUGGAAUCAAAGUGAAGUUUCUGUAACAAAAGAAAGAAAAGAUUUUGUUGGAAUACCACAAUAGUGCAGACUUCAAUUGCGGCAAAUCUGACCUUUGGACUAAAGAAUUCACCUAUCUGAGAUUUACAAAGCCUGUUUCUCUCUCAUACUCAGCUGUUGGCACUUUUUGUAAUAACUGAAAAGGAACAGAGAGAAAAGCAGAAAAGAGAAAAUGCAGGGAAAAAAAAAAUCAAAAAAUAAAAGAAAAUUGGAAAAAAGAAGAAAAUCUUGAUGUCAAAAUUAGAGCUAACAAGGUCUUAGCAAUCACAAGGCUGAAAAAAAGAAUGAGAUGAGUAACACAGUGGACACUUAAUUUUUUUUUAAUUUUUAUUUCCUAUUUAAUCCCCCCUCACCCUCCCCGCUCAUGUCUUUUAUUUCCUCUUAUUCCCCACUGGUAAUUAUGCUCUCUCCUUAAAUAAGUUUUAGGCCAUGUUUUCCUGGAAAGCUCUAGAAAGGGUAGGUGAGGGUUUUGGGUCACAAUUCUGGGUGCUGUUUCAUGCUACAUAUCAAAGGAUAGAGAUUUUUAAUAUCCUGUAGCAAAAUAACAACUGGAAGAGUUUGACCCUGGAAGGCUAUAGCAUCUUCUGUUCCAUUAAUGGAGAACUGGUUUAAUUUGCUUUGUAUUUUUCAGAUCAUUUUUCAUUCCAGCCUAAAGAGCGAGGAAUCAGCGAAGCACCAGAUUUGCAGCCUUGUUUGUUCCAGUUCUCAGAUCUUCUUGAAGCUCUUCAUUUAUUGUGACAACACAUGAAGUACCAGGUGUUCUCCCACUACUGAUGAAGGACAGCACCCAGACAGCCACUGCUGGCAGAGGUUGCGGUGUUCUCUUCCAUCACCCCAGGAGACAUUUCUGGCAGCUUUUCAGAAGAGUCUUCAUUCUCGUGGUGACUUUCAUUUAGAUCUUCAAGGCUACUUUGUACGUACUUCUGAAGCUGAACUUCCAAAAUCUGGAUCCUCCCAUGGCAUGAACUGGUUUUGGAAAUACCCAGAAGUGUACAUACAGCACCCAUCUCCUCAUUGUGGAUAUUAAAAAAGGAGAGUUUGCUAGCAAAGAGUAGAACCUUGCUUCAUGAACUGAGUGAUUUCUCUUUACACCUGGAAUAUUGCAAAGCCUUCCGAAAUCCCCUAAAAUUCGUACCUCCACAGAGGUCUUCCACAGUAAAUAGAUCAUCUUUGAAACUUUCCAGUCAAGAGGAACUACAUAAUCAUCUGGCAACAAGGAUUCUGCAGAAGAAAAUAUUUUUGCAGUUGAGUGUUCGCAUCUCUUCACGGCUGAAGUAUAUCACUGCAUUGUCAUUUCUGCUAAUGCCUGCAUGAGCCAGCAGCAAAGCCAAAACUGACAUUUACCAAAGACCAGGGGAGGGGAGGGAAAAAAGAUUUGGUUUUGUUUUCUUUUUUUAUGCGAAGACUUUCGUUUCCCCCACACUCCCUGAACCACAGCACAAACAAAAACAGAAAGCUCUCAGCCCAUAAAUGCAACAAAACGCGGUUCUGUAACAGACUCCACGUUUUAAAAUGCUCAUUCCUAGGAAGCACUGCAAUAUUAUCCAAUAAAUUACUUUCUAGUAUGUUUUAACUGCAAAAACUCUUCACUUCUCAAGGAGCUGAAAAGAGAUUCUUCAUGGAAAAGCAGUCUAAAAUAUAUUUUGUGCUUAUAAGAGAAACAGCCAAGCAAGUAAAUCAACUUAAUCUUUCAUUUAUAGAUAUCCAAGGACAAUUACCACAAUUUUUCCCUCCAAAAUUAUUAAACAAAAAUUGUCUGCAAUUAUCACUCACAGAUUCUACUGCCUGAUGGAGUGGUUGGCAACCCUGCCUGCAGCAUUCUGUAGUUCUACGUGUAUGCCAAUAAACAGCCUAUCACUACACAGCUGACCACAAAAAAAGCACAAGAACUUCUGAAGUUGUGAGAAAAACACGUUUGAAUCAGAACACAGUCAGCAUUCUGUGGAGCAUUCACACUUUUGAGGAGAAAACAAACCCACAGCAAUCACAAGCUGGGGAGAGCUCAGAGAUAUCAGAGGGGUUUAUAUUCCUUAAAGGUUGUUUCCAAAGGAAACUCAUCUACAAUAUUAUACCAUAGAAUAUCAUAUCAUAGAAUCAUAGAAUGGCCUGGGAUGAAAAGGAUCAUCUAGUUUCAACCCCCUGCU